CCUACGGGUGGCAGCAGUGAGGAAUAUUGGUCAAUGGGCGGAAGCCUGAACCAGCCAAGUAGCGUGCAGGAUGACGGCCCUACGGGUUGUAAACUGCUUUUAUACGGGAAUAACGCGCCUUACGUGGAGGGCUUUGCAUGUACCGUAUGAAUAAGGACCGGCUAAUUCCGUGCCAGCAGCCGCGGUAAUACGGAAGGUCGGGGUGUUAACCGGAUUUAUGGGGUUGAAGGGGAGCGUAGGCCGGAUGGCAAGCGGACUGUGAAAUUUCCGGGCUCAACCCGGGCCUUGCAGCGCCAACUGGCGUGCUUGAGUCCGCGGAAAGCAGGCGGAAUUCGUCGUGUAGCAGUGAAAUGCUUAGAUAUGACGAAGAACCCCGAUUGCGAAGGCAGCUUGCUGCAGCGGAACUGACGCUGAUGCUCGAAAGCGCGGGUAUCGAACAGGAUUAGAUACCCUUGUAGUC
rnacentral:rRNA from 1 species